GGAUGAAUAUUGCACAAUGGGGGCAACCCUGAUGCAGCAACGCCGCGUGGAGGAUGAAGGCCUUCGGGUCGUAAACUCCUUUUCUGGGGGAAGAGGAAGGACGGUACCCCAGGAAUAAGUCACGGCUAACUACGUGCCAGCAGCCGCGGUAAUACGUAGGUGGCAAGCGUUAUCCGGAAUUACUGGGCGUAAAGCGCGCGCAGGCGGCUCAACAAGUCUGACGUGAAAGCUCCUGGCUUAACCGGGAGAG
rnacentral:rRNA from 1 species